rnacentral:rRNA from 1 species
CGCGCGUGCACCGGUACCGGUCAGCGACGAAUUCUUCGGGCCUCUUUCCGACCCGUCUUGAAACACGGACCAAGGAGUCUAACAUGCGCGCGAGUCGCGGGGUGUCGAGCGUACUUCGGUGCGUUCGUUACGUUGCGAAACCCGUACAUGUCGAAGGCGUAAUGAAAGUGAAUGGGGAAGAUGGUGUUCCGAGUACACGUUCCGCGAUCGUCGGUAUCGCGGCCGGGCACCCGCAUUCCCGGGGCGUCUCAACGGCCCGUCGCUGAUGCGGACAGUCGUCUCUCGGGGCGGCUGUCGGUCGGCGACGAACCGAGGCGCACCUAUAGCGUGCACGUUGGUAC